ACGCUGGCGGCGUGCCUAAUACAUGCAAGUCGAGCGGACAGAUGGGAGCUUGCUCCCUGAUGUUAGCGGCGGACGGGUGAGUAACACGUGGGUAACCUGCCUGUAAGACUGGGAUAACUCCGGGAAACCGGGGCUAAUACCGGAUGGUUGUUUGAACCGCAUGGUUCAAACAUAAAAGGUGGCUUCGGCUACCACUUACAGAUGGACCCGCGGCGCAUUAGCUAGUUGGUGAGGUAACGGCUCACCAAGGCAACGAUGCGUAGCCGACCUGAGAGGGUGAUCGGCCACACUGGGACUGAGACACGGCCCAGACUCCUACGGGAGGCAGCAGUAGGGAAUCUUCCGCAAUGGACGAAAGUCUGACGGAGCAACGCCGCGUGAGUGAUGAAGGUUUUCGGAUCGUAAAGCUCUGUUGUUAGGGAAGAACAAGUACCGUUCGAAUAGGGCGGUACCUUGACGGUACCUAACCAGAAAGCCACGGCUAACUACGUGCCAGCAGCCGCGGUAAUACGUAGGUGGCAAGCGUUGUCCGGAAUUAUUGGGCGUAAAGGGCUCGCAGGCGGUUUCUUAAGUCUGAUGUGAAAGCCCCCGGCUCAACCGGGGAGGGUCAUUGGAAACUGGGGAACUUG
rnacentral:rRNA from 1 species